ACCUUGAGAGGAGUUGAGAUCCUGCUUUCUCUUCAGAAUGCCAUCUCUAGGAUGCCAAUGGGCUGUGUCUACAGUACUAUGUAGGAAAGUGCUGCAAGAGGUACUUGCACUGGGACUACUAAAAGAAACAACUUUACCCAUGAAGAAUGCAGAAAAGCAAGGCAGGAUGGUGGCCCACCCUGGAAGGACAUGGAGCCAAGGGAGCCUCCCCCAUCCAGGGAGGUGGUGAGUGAAUGCUGUGGCCCUGGGAACCCACGCUUCUCCCAUGGGUCUUCGUACCCUUGGGUCAGGAGAUCCCCUCGUGGACCCACUCCACCAGGGCCUUCAGUCUGACACACAGAACUAUGUGGAGUCUCAUCAGAGCAGCCAUUGAGCUCCAAAGUCUGUUGCCUGGUGACUGGACAGAAGCUGGAAUGUCCUGGCAGAUCUAUUGUGGCAAGAAUGUGCAAAUCCCCUCUACAUGGCAUUUUGCACAAGAUUUGAUGAGAAAAUAUGGGGAAUUGCUCACUGGGGAUGCUAUGUUUUGUUUGUCUGUUCCAUGCAAGCUCCAUUUAGAGGCCUUUAAGAACUCUAAGACUAGGGUCCAAAGCAAAUAAUUAUAGCACUAAACAAUCCACCCCUCAAAACAUAUAUUUUCCUCUAAUGUUUUUGCUUAUUUAUGAUGUUUCACAUAAGAUGAUCACAUCACAUCAAUUAUGAUGAAAACCUUUGAUUGGGGGGCUUUGGAGGAAUUCCUCAGAAGAUCAAUCUUUUAAAUAAAAAUAAAGAAAAAAAUAAAAAUAAAAAUAAAGAAAUCUAUACAUAUAAAUAUGCCAGUCUCAGGUAUUAAUGCAUUGAAAUAAUGGCUAUUUCUUUAUUUAUAUAGACCCUGUUAUAUUAUUUAGUGUUAUCUUGGUGCUUUUAUUCAAACAAAUUCUUUGGUUCUCUAACUAUUAAUGAUUCUAGAAGUUAUAUGAUCCAUUCUAUCCCCCAGCUUCAAAUUAUCUUGUUAUAACAUUCAGCAACUAAUUUCCACUUUUGCAAUCAUACUUUUUCGACUCCCAUCCUGCCUAGCAGAGAAAUGUGGGAAGGAGUAUGAGGAUGCUGUGUUCCAGGGGAUGCUAAUUUCCUGGCUUGGUUUUGCCACCUGCUACCUAAAUGUAACCUUUCUGAGGCUCAGUUGUCAUUUGUAUAAUUGGGUAUAAUAACACUUCACAGAGUCAUAAGGCUAAAAGAUUUGGUACUUUGGAAAUUGCUUUGUAAAAUUCUGUGAAAGUAAAAGGAUUAUUAAGGCUCUUCCUGUCAA
ensembl:lncRNA LINC02552 long intergenic non-protein coding RNA 2552